AGGUAGCAGAGGUAGGUCGAGUGGGUCACGUGGUCAUGGUAGAGGGCGGGCUUCCACCAAAUUUCUAAGGACUGCGCAGUCAUCACCCUCUCCAGCGCCCCCAGCAGGAUGCCCUUCACCACCGCUCGUCAUCCGACUGAGGAUUUGGUCUGAUGGCAUGCAUGUAUUUGCACCAAACCUCAAUGCUUGCACAUAGGAGAUCUCUGACGUCAUUAAGUCCAUGUACGACCACCCGUAGCCGACCUACACACAGAUCCUGGCUGAGGCCAGAGAUCGAUGGUUUCAGAAGUAGUGGGCGUUAAAAUUCAUAUGAGAUGCGGAGCAUAAUCUCAUGAUUAGGAAGAUCUACGAUCACCGGAUAGCUAAACAUUUUCAGCAAAUCACGAGCGACGUUCGUAAGGGGCACGAUCACCUAACGUCGUAGAUUCGUCCAACCAUCAAGAAGGAACUCAGGUAUAUUUUACUCAUAAUGAGGGGUUCAAGCGUCGCCAUCCAACGAAUGUCACUAACAGGGCUUCGCCCAAGUCGUCAAAGUAUAUGAGUGGGUCGGCGACCUUCAUGAAGACGAAGAGCAGAUUGGUAAUGAUUUUGUCAUUGUUGAAUAUUUUAGUAGUUACUUAAAUUAGUUGUUUAAUGUGUUCAUUUCUUUUAUUGGUUGAUAUAUUAAUUUAUGGUCUAAGUUAUUGCACCAUGAGAUGAUACUGGUGGAGACCUUCGAGUAUACCCAUACUUUGAAGGUCAACAAGGAGAGAUUUGCUAACAAGCGGUCAACGGCCCAUUAUGUGAAUUUAAAUUAAUCCUUACUUUCAAAUCUAUUUGGUUUAAAGGUAAUUAAUUAAUUGUUAUCCUAAUCACGACGUGCGUGACACGGGAGGAUUACACGCAAAGGUUGGAGGUCGCGACCCAACAAUCUCAACUGUGUAGUAGGAACGACGAAGCCGGCUCCGAGACCUCAGUGGUAGAUUUUGAUAGAAUUUGGCGCAAGACCACCUUUGAGCCUCAUAAGAAUCGCCGUUUCGGGUUAGGGUCGUUCUUCACCAGUAGCCUCUGCUCCUCCGUGUUGGUGAUUUUCUCUGCCUCUGCCACCAACCUUGCCGAUCCCCAAGAAGUUAUUGUCUUGAGGGAGGAGAUGCUAAAGUUGACAAAGAAGCUUCACCAGCAAGCGGAGUAGUCUGAGCAAAGGUACAACAACCUUCUUGCAUGGGUGGGAGGAGCCGUUGCCAUCAGCUCAGACCUGAUGGAGAAGUUGGAGCAGCUCGAUCGGUUGCGGGAGCAGAUAAAGGAGUACAACUAGCAAAUGCGCGCCGGAGCCAGCGGUGCUGGAGGAAGCAGCACUGCUGGUUCCAACAGCAACGCUACUGGUGGGCACUGACAAUUACCGGGAUCUGUUGGGGUUUUAUUUUUUUGUUUGUCUACUUUAUUGUAUUCUACUUCUGUGACAUUUUAUUGUAUUCAGACCAUUUAUUUUUAAUAAAAUAAUUUGAUGAU